rnacentral:lncRNA from 1 species
CAGACCCAAAGACUGCUCCUCCAUACUCAGAGAUACCAGCACUAACAGAGCAGCUCCUCUUCUUCAGUACAGAUGCUUCUCAACUUACAAUGAGGUUAUACCCUUAUAAACACAUGGUAGCAAGAAUACAGCUGUGAGAAGAUGCAUUGUGCCAAGAUGAAUUUAGUGAGUUUGGAAGAGGACCCUGAGCCUGAAAUGAGAAUUGCAACCCUGGCUGACACCUCCAUUUCAG